GAUUAUGGCUCAGGAUGAACGCUGGCGGCGUGCCUAACACAUGCAAGUCGAGCGAGAUACUGUUGAACAGAGAUUCGUCAACGGGAUACAGUGGAAAGCGGCGGACGGGUGAGUAACGCGUAGGCAACCUGCCCCUUACACAGGGAUAGCCAUUGGAAACGAUGAUUAAAACCUGAUGACACCUGAGGAUGACAUCUUCCUGAGGUCAAAGAUUUAUCGGUAAGGGAUGGGCCUGCGUCUGAUUAGAUAGUUGGUGAGGUAACGGCCCACCAAGUCAACGAUCAGUAGCCGACCUGAGAGGGUGAUCGGCCACAUUGGAACUGAGACACGGUCCAAACUCCUACGGGAGGCAGCAGUGGGGAAUAUUGCACAAUGGGGGAAACCCUGAAUGCAGCAACGCCGCGUGAAGGAAGAAGGUCUUCGGAUCGUAAACUUCUGUCCUAGAGGAAGAUAAUGACGGUACUCUUGGAGGAAGCCCCGGCUAACUACGUGCCAGCCGCCGC
rnacentral:rRNA from 1 species